UGAAGCAUGCAAUAAUACCUUAUGAGGUGCCGUGGUGUUCCCCCGGAGGAUCCGGGAUCCAAGUCGCGGGUAAACCACCUUGUAAGACGCUGCUUCA
rnacentral:ncRNA from 1 species